GACCUUUACUACAGUUUGAUAUUGGUGUUCGGUUCGGCUUGUGUAGGAUAGGUGGGAGACUGUGAAGCGGGCACGCCAGUGUUCGUGGAGUCAACGUUGAAAUACCACUCUGGUCGUGCUGGAUGUCUAACCUCGGUCCGUGAUCCGGAUCAGGGACAGUGUCUGAUGGGUAGUUUAACUGGGGCGGUUGCCUCCCAAAGGGUAACGGAGGCGCCCAAAGGUUCCCUCAGCCUGGUUGGUAAUCAGGUGUUGAGUGUAAGUGCACAAGGGAGCUUGACUGUGAGACCGACGGGUCGAGCAGGGACGAAAGUCGGGACUAGUGAUCCGGCGGUGGCUUGUGGAAGCGCCGUCGCUCAACGGAUAAAAGGUACCCCGGGGAUAACAGGCUGAUCUUCCCCAAGAGUCCAUAUCGACGGGAUGGUUUGGCACCUCGAUGUCGGCUCGUCGCAUCCUGGGGCUGGAGUCGGUCCCAAGGGUUGGGCUGUUCGCCCAUUAAAGCGGUACGCGAGCUGGGUUUAGAACGUCGUGAGACAGUUCGGUCCCUAUCCUCUGUGCGCGUAGGAAUAUUGAGAAGGGCUGUCCCUAGUACGAGAGGACCGGGACGGACGAACCUCUGGUGUGCCAGUUGUCCUGCCAAGGGCAUGGCUGGUUGGCUACGUUCGGAAAGGAUAACCGCUGAAAGCAUCUAAGCGGGAAGCCUGCUUCGAGAUGAGUAUUCCCACCCCCUUUGAGGGGUUAAGGCUCCCAGUAGACGACUGGGUUGAUAGGCCAGAUCUGGAAGCCCGGUAACGGGUGGAGGUGACUGGUACUAAUAGGCCGAGGGCUUGUCCUCAGUUG
rnacentral:rRNA from 1 species